rnacentral:lncRNA from 1 species
CUUAUCAAAGAUAAGCUGAAACUAUCUCAUAACUAUGAAACAUUAAGUAGGAGACUCACAAAUGAAACCAAGAAUCUAAUUGCUGAAAAUGUCAAGUUAAAAGAAGAUGCUGAAAAAUAUAAAUCCUUAGUAGACAAGUUUACACUUAGCUCAACCAAAUUAAAUAUGAUUCUUGAUAGUCAAAAAGCUGUAUAUGAUAAAGCUGGAUUAGGAUAUAAAACAAAUAGGAAACAAAAAUACUUAAAGAACAUAUUUGUAAAAGCUAAAAAUAAAAAUAUUACUUGUCAUUGUUGCAAUAAAUUAGGACAUAAAGCAUAUGAAUGUAACUAUAGAAAGUCUAGCUACAACAAAUUGAGUAAUAAUUAUAAGCUUAAAUCCAAGAAAGUUUGGGUUCCAAAAGGAACAUCAUGUACUAACCCUAAAGGACCCAACAU